AAUUUAAACCCCCCCUUUUUUUUCACAUCCCCGUUUCCCUUUUUCCAAAACUGAUAUCAAUUCAAAUUUCUAAUGGAGUUUGCAACAAUAACUACUCUUUUAAAUACAUCAUAAAAUAUUAAAAUGUAAAAUAAAGUGCUUGUUAUCACUAAAUGGUAAAGAUUGGUUGGUAGUAAAAGUGAAUAUACAUUGUUUAUUGUAUAAAACAAUAAAAAAAAC
rnacentral:lncRNA from 1 species